rnacentral:rRNA from 1 species
UACGUAGGGGGCAAGCGUUAUCCGGAUUUACUGGGUGUAAAGGGAGCGUAGACGGUAGUGCAAGUCUGGAGUGAAAGGCGGGGGCUCAACCCCCGGACUGCUCUGGAAACUGUACGACUGGAGUGCAGGAGGGGUAAGCGGAAUUCCUAGUGUAGCGGUGAAAUGCGUAGAUAUUAGGAGGAACACCGGUGGCGAAGGCGGCUUACUGGACUGUAACUGACGUUGAGGCUCGAAAGCGUG